ensembl:miRNA
AGGCCUCUCAGGGUUUCUGGAUGUGUGUUUGUUCCAUAAACCCUCAGAGAGUCACC